UGUUGGUGGCAUCUCCGCUGUUUGCAGCUGAUGUUGUCCUUGCUUCUUCAAACUGUGAUCUCUGACGCUCACUUGAAUGUUUCACUGCUGAAUGUGAAGCAGUUGGGAUGAGAAUCAGCCCCUCCAAAUCAGAGGUCAUUGCCCUCUCCUGGAAGAAAGUGGACUGUUCUCUCCAGGGUACAUGCAACGUUUUCCCCAAGUAGCAGAACUUAAGAGGUGACAACUGCACAAUGCAGAGAGCUCUCCAGGAAUGAGGGGGUAGAAAGCUCUUCUGCUCUACUUGCAAUAUUCCUGUAGAUUACACCAGGAAAACUGGUUGUUACAAACAUCUGGUCAAUACAACACAUAAAUCAAGGUGGAUCAAGCUUUCAAAAUGUUACAGAACUGUUGCC